GGCUCCCCAAAUCAAUACGGCCUGUUUGAAAACUAAUAAACAAAUAUUGACAGUGAAUAAAACCAACAGCCACAGCCAGGUUCCAACCUACUAAAGGCACUGGUACUGCUGAGGAUGGGGCUUCUCAGAGAUGCCCCGGAAGGGAGGACAAUAAGGAGAGGAGCCACGUCAACAGUCUCCUCUACUUUGUGAGCUGAUCAUUUGUGUUUUACUUCCCUAGGUUGCUCAAAGCAGAUACCAUGAAAUGGUUUGGCUUAAACAAUGGGAAUCUAUUAGUUUACAAGCUUACAGUUUUGAAGCUGUGAAAAUGUCCAGAUCAAGGCAUCAUCAAGUAAUUGCAAAAAUGUGAAGAUAGGAAUAAAAUCACUCAUAAUCUCACUGUGAAACAGUCUUCAUGGGAGAGGCGGCUCUUCUACCUGAUCAUCUUCCACCACAUUAUCCUAGUUUGUCAGAAUUGCCCUGAGAGAAUGGAGCACAAGACAGCUUUUUAUCAGAAAGAACAUGACAAGUGAAUCUCAACUGAAAACCAAGUACUGCUGAGAAUAAGGAAUACAGCCCCAGGUAAGUACACAGC